AGAGUUUGAUCCUGGCUCAGAUUGAACGCUGGCGGCAGGCUUAACACAUGCAAGUCGAACGAUGAAACUCUAGCUUGCUAGAGAAGAUUAGUGGCGGACGGGUGAGUAACAUUUAGGAAUCUGCCUAGUAGUGGGGGAUAGCUCGGGGAAACUCGAAUUAAUACCGCAUACGACCUACGGGUGAAAGGGGGCGCAAGCUCUUGCUAUUAGAUGAGCCUAAAUCAGAUUAGCUAGUUGGUGGGGUAAAGGCCCACCAAGGCGACGAUCUGUAACUGGUCUGAGAGGAUGAUCAGUCACACCGGAACUGAGACACGGUCCGGACUCCUACGGGAGGCAGCAGUGGGGAAUAUUGGACAAUGGGGGCAACCCUGAUCCAGCCAUGCCGCGUGUGUGAAGAAGGCCUUUUGGUUGUAAAGCACUUUAAGCAGGGAGGAGAGGCUAAUGGUUAAUACCCAUUAGAUUAGACGUUACCUGCAGAAUAAGCACCGGCUAACUCUGUGCCAGCAGCCGCGGUAAUACAGAGGGUGCGAGCGUUAAUCGGAAUUACUGGGCGUAAAGCGAGUGUAGGUGGCUCAUUAAGUCACAUGUGAAACCCCCGGGCUUAACCUGGGAACUGCAUGUGAUACUGGUGGUGCUAGAAUAUGUGAGAGGGAAGUAGAAUUCCAGGUGUAGCGGUGAAAUGCGUAGAGAUCUGGAGGAAUACCGAUGGCGA
rnacentral:rRNA from 1 species